GAUGAACGCUGGCGGCGUGCCUAAUACAUGCAAGUCGAGCGAACGGACGAGAAGCUUGCUUCUCUGAUGUUAGCGGCGGACGGGUGAGUAACACGUGGAUAACCUACCUAUAAGACUGGGAUAACUUCGGGAAACCGGAGCUAAUCCCGGAUAAUAUUUUGAACCGCAUGGUUCAAAAGUGAAAGACGGUCUUGCUGUCACUUAUAGAUGGAUCCGCGCUGCAUUAGCUAGUUGGUAAGGUAACGGCUUACCAAGGCAACGAUGCAUAGCCGACCUGAGAGGGUGAUCGGCGACACUGGAGCGGAGACGCGGACCAGGCUCCUACGGGAGGCAGCAGUAGGGAAUCGUCCGCAAUAGGCGAAAGCCUGGCGGAGCAACGCCGCGUGAGAGAUGAAAGUCUUCGGAUCGUAAAGCUCGGUUAUUAGGGGAGAACAGAUGUGGAAUGAGCUGUGCACAGCGUGACGGUACCUAAUCAGAAAGCCACGGCUAACUACGUG
rnacentral:rRNA from 1 species